UAAUACCGGAUAGAUCAAAGGUACUGGAAUGUUCUUUGAUCCAAAGUUCCGGCGCCUAAGGAUGGAUCUGCGGUCUAUCAGGUAGUAGUGGGUGUAACGUACCUACUAGCCUACGACGGGUACGGGUUGUGAGAGCAAGAGCCCGGAGAUGGAUUCUGAGACAUGAAUCCAGACCCUACGGGGUGCAGCAGGCGCGAAACCUUUACACUGCGGGAAACCGCGAUAAGGGGACCCCGAGUGCCAGCACCUAGUGUUGGCUGUCCAGCUGUGUAAAUAACAGUUGUUAGCAAGGGCCGGGCAAGACCGGUGCCAGCCGCCGCGGUAACACCGGCGGCCCGAGUGGUAACCGAUUUUAUUGGGUUUAAAGGGUCCGUAGCCGGCCUAUUAAGUCUCUUGGGAAAUCUGGCGGCUCAAUCGUCAGGCGUCC
rnacentral:rRNA from 1 species